AAGAAGACACUUUAAAACCCUU
rnacentral:snRNA from 1 species